rnacentral:rRNA from 1 species
GAGAGGAGCUUGCUCCUCUGAUUUAGCGGCGGACGGGUGAGUAACACGUGGGUAAUCUGCCUGUAAGACGGGGAUAACUCCGGGAAACCGGGGCUAAUACCGGAUAAUAAGAGAAGAAGCAUUUCUUCUUUUUGAAAGUCGGUUUCGGCUGACACUUACAGAUGAGCCCGCGGCGCAUUAGCUAGUUGGUGAGGUAACGGCUCACCAAGGCGACGAUGCGUAGCCGACCUGAGAGGGUGAUCGGCCACACUGGGACUGAAACACGGCCCAAACUCCUACGGGAGGCAGCAGUAGGGAAUCUUCGGCAAUGGGCGAAAGCCUGACCGAGCAACGCCGCGUGAGCGAUGAAGGCCUUCGGGUCGUAAAGCUCUGUUGUUAGAGAAGAACAAGUACGAGAGUAACUGCUCGUACCUUGACGGUACCUAACCAGAAAGCCACGGCUAACUACGUGCCAGCAGCCGCGGUAAUACGUAUGUGGCAAGUGUUAUCCGGAAUUAUUGGGCGUAAAGCGCGCGCAGGCGGUCUCUUAAGUCUGAUGUGAAAGCCCACGGCUCACCCGUGGAGGGUCAUUGGAAACUGGGAGACUUGAGUGCAAGAGAGAAAAGUGGAAUUCCACGUGUAGCGGUGAAAUGCGUAGAGA